rnacentral:rRNA from 1 species
AUGGGGCCUCUCAAAUCUCCCUUCUUGUCCCCCUCUGGCCCCAGGCCAACUUCCCCUGCAAGCAGAAGGCCACCGCCGCCCGGCCAUCGUCAUCACCGUCUGCCGCCGCCCCCUCCGCUGCCGCCUCCGCCCCCGCUCCCUCUGCCGCCGCCGCCACCCCUUCCCUCGUCUUCCCUGCCAUUGCCGCCUCCAUGCCCCCCAGCCGAUGCCCUCCAGAUGCCGCCGUCACCUCCUCUGCCCCCGCCGCCGCCGCUACCCCCCGUCACCUCUCAUCUGUCCCGUCUCUCGUCGUCUCCGCCAUUGCCGCCUCCACGGCGUACCCUCCGGAAGCCGGCGCGCCGUCGGACUCCGCCGGUGGGGGGAGCCUCCUCGGCCUCCGGCCUCCCCACCAUCGUGCUGGCCCUCGCUUGUACUGCCCCUGCCAAGCGGGCGAGAGAGGGGCAUUCUGUCGAACAACUGGCGCCCGCGCGUGGGUCUCCGAAGACCCUGCCCGCCUGCGACACCGCGCCCGGUGAGGAGCUCGCCGGCGUCCCUCUGGAGCUGCUCCCGCCCAAGAAGAGGCUCGUGCGGUGCCUCCCAUACGAGGCGGCCUCUACGAUCCAGGAGAUCGCCAGCCACGGCCGCGGCGACGGGUUCGGGGAUCGGCCCGCCUCUCCCACCGUGGAAGGCGACGGCAACGCCGACGGGUUCGGGAAUCGGCCCGUCUCUCCCACCGUGGAAGGCGACGGCAACGGCGACUGGUUCGGGAAUCGGUCCGUCUCUCCCACCGUCGACGGCGACGGCGACGGCGAGGGGUUCGGGAAUCGGCCCGUCUCUCUUACCGAGGAAGGCGAGUGGGACGGCCACAGCGACGGCGAGGUGUUCGGGAAUCGGCCCGUCCCUCUCGCCGUGGACAGCGACGGCGGCGGCAUCCACGGGGAGGAGCCUCAGGUCUACCGGGACGACGACGGACUGCGCGCCGAGCUUAACCGCCUCCACGUCCCCCGGCCGUCGCUGGUGCUGACGAAGCGGCUGACCCUCUCGGACCGCAGCCGCGAGAAGGCCCGCCUCGUCCUCCCGGACGGCCUGGUGAGGGCCUCGCCGCUGCUCAGCACGAUGACGCCGGGGGAGCGGCACAUGGUCCUGGCCGGCGGCGGGCUGGCUGUGCCGUCGUUCGACCGCCUGGGCCGACCGUACCACAUGAUGCUGAAGCGCGACCGCCUCGCCCGCACGUACCGCCUGACGGGCGAGUGGUCCCUGUUCCUGUCGCGGCACGGCGGCAUGCGUGACGGGGACGCGGUGGAGGUGUUCGCCUUCCGGCCGCCCGGAUGGCAGGCGCGCCUGGGCAGGUCCGGCCAGGGCGGGCUCGGCAUGGCGCUGCUCCACUGCCGGCGCUCGCGCGCGGCCCCGGCGCCGGCCAACGCGGCGGACUGGGACGGCUGGGGCUGCGACGCGGCAGACGACGGCCUGGUGCUUCCCGACGAAAACCCUGCGAGGCGGGAAAGGCUGGCCCGGCGGCGAGGUCGACCUGUGAAUCACAACGGCCCCUUUCGUCCUUCCUAG